rnacentral:snRNA from 1 species
AUACUUACCUGGCAGAGGAAAUACGGUGACCCCCAAGGCAGUUUUCCUAGUCGCACCCAGGGAAAACCUCUCUCCUGGCAUGGGAGAGUACCUGCAGAAGUAAUGUAUAGUUAAC